AGCAUUUUGCUCAUUGGAACCCAUGACUAGAGAGAGAGAGAGAGAGAGUGGGCGUGAGAAGAGAGAGAAGGAGAAAGAAAGGAAGAAAAGAAAAGAGGAGGAGGAAGAAGGUCUUGGAAAGUCUAGGUACUCAUGAGUGAUUGCCAUUUUAGGUAUUGGUUCUAUCAAGGAGGCUCGUUGUGACGUUUGUCAGUUUUUGCUUUGCUUGGACCUGAGGUAGCAAAUAUGAUUUCUCUUUGGCAUGCGUGGUGAUGUGGGGAGUUCCAAUGUUAGGGUGUGUAUGGCGUGGGGGUACCCUAUGGGCGAGAAAACGAUCAGCUUAACGCCAAUUUCUAAAGAACAAUGUUAUGUUUAUUUUUAAUUUUUCAGAACUUAUAAGUGGGACUUGAACUUUAAUUUUUUUUAAAAACGUUGCAUGGAAACUAUUAUUUUUAUUUUAAAACUAUUGGGCCCAACUUGCAUGUUUUAGCAAGGCCCCACUGAGAUUUUUCAUAUAAUAAGUGGCUUUCUUCUAUAAGUUUAUGAGCAUGUAAAAGUUUUACAAAGUAUUAGAUUAUGGAGUUUUGCAAAUGG